UACGUAGGGGGCAAGCGUUGUCCGGAUUUAUUGGGCGUAAAGAGCGUGUAGGCGGCCAGGUAGGUCAGCUGUGAAAACUCGAGGCUCUACCUCGAGACGCCGGUUGAAACCAUCUGGCUAGAGUCCGGAAGAGGAGAGUGGAAUUCCUGGUGUAGCGGUGAAAUGCGCAGAUAUCAGGAAGAACACCCGUGGCUAAGGCGGCUCUCUAGUACGGUACUGACGCUGAGACGCGAAAGCGUGGGGAGCGAACAGG
rnacentral:rRNA from 1 species